CCAUGAGCAGGAGGACGUGUCUUCAGCGUCCACUUCAAACUUUAUAUAAUGGCAGUAAAAAUGUUCUCAAGUCGCCCUCCUUUCCUCCAGGAGCAUGAAGAGGAGCAGAGAGAGACUUUUAAGAGGAACUCACGUUGAGGCCUUCUGGACUCUUUGCAUUGAUGAAGAAACUGAAGAUGACUUUCCUUGAACAUCGGUUUCAUUGGAGAACAUUAAAGUCGAGGCUGGAGCAGGUGAGACUGAAGACCUCAGAGCCAGCUGCAUGAAGAUCAAGAUCCUCCAAAGAUGCUCUUAAUUGAGUGAGACCUCAUCAAGUCUGGUGUGAAAUGGGAGACUGGUGAGCUCUGGAGUCUAACCCUCGAGGGAUGUUGAGUCUCGAAGGUCAAAGUUGUGGCUGAGCAGGACCUCGCUGGAUGCGAGAGCUGUUUGACUCCGCAACGCUGAGAGUGACUCUUAAUCCUGCCAAUGACUGACAGUGAUCCAUUUAUUUCACUGGAGUCUCAAACACAUCAUGCAGAUGUUGUUGCUGGCCAGAAAACUGCUGCUCCCUCCACACUGUAUAUGAACCCUGUUAGUAAUAUGACACUGUUGGAUUAGCUUGUGCAGAAACAGUUUACUGUGUGCUCGGGCCAGAGCCUCCGACACGAAGGAUAAUCUGAGGGUGACGCAUCACAACUGUGAUAGUGAUGCUUUGAUACUUGAGGAGCUGUAUUACAUCACUGUGAUGAUAACUACACUGAAUAAAUAUUUACUGUC